AAUGAACGCUGGCGGCGUGCUUAACACAUGCAAGUCGAACGAGAAAUCCUCUGCUUGCAGAGGAGAGUAAAGUGGCGUACGGGUGAGUAACGCGUGGGUAAUCUACCCUUGGAUUUGGGAUAACACUUCGAAAGGGGUGCUAAUACUGGAUAACAUCCUGACGGUUUAGACAGUUGGGAUCAAAGAUAGCCACUACAUGUAAGCUAUUGUCUGAGGAUGAGCCCGCGUACCAUUAGCUAGUUGGUAGGGUAAGAGCCUACCAAGGCGACGAUGGUUAGCUGGUCUGAGAGGAUGAUCAGCCACACUGGAACUGGAACACGGUCCAGACUCCUACGGGUGGCAG
rnacentral:rRNA from 1 species